AGUCAGGGCUGAAGUCACCACCAUGGAACAACUUGGCCUGGGUGUAGGGAAGCCAGGACAUUCUGACAAGGGAGGGGACAGAACCCUGGGCACCCGGAAGCCAUGAUAUCCACCUGGUCUCAAGCCAUGUGCAGUGGCCCCACACUCUGGGAAGUGCAGGUGAGGGACUUAUCUUCUGAGGAAUCUGAAGAGAUGGACACACACUGGGCCUCCAAGGUUUUCCAGCAGCCUCUCCACCCAGCUGAGAGCAACUUUCUAGGCACUGGUGUCCCCAGCAGCUGCGCUGGACGUCCUGUUCCUGCCCAGAUGCUGCCAACGUGUCUCCCAUCACCCUCAGCCGGCCUCAUCUUUGCUCCGUGUUUAGCUACCCCCUCACUCCCAAACACGGACUCUGAUUUAGAAAAUUGAGUGUCCAGCCUUGCAAACACCAGGGUCUGCCUGGGCAUCCUUAGUUCGGCCCCAUCCCCACAGCAGCUGCCCCAGAGCCUGGCUGGACCAGCUCCCACCAGAUCCUCCUGCCAAUGGCAAGAUCCGCCAUCCUCACCUGGCCUGGCAGCUGCCAAGGAGAGGGCUUAGUUUAAAGACUUGCCUACAUGCUGCAAAUGGUGACUUGGCCAGUGGUUCUGGGGUCAGAAUUAGCUGGACCAGAACAAGGAGACAUUGCCCAUUCCUUGCCCCAUCCCUU